GGAAACCUGAGAAGACUAAGCGUGGUCUGAGGUCUGAAGUCCAAAUGGCCCUGCUCUCCUUUCUCUGAUGGAAGAGCCUAAAAAUAAAGCAGAGGCAACAAGUGUUAACACAGGCAUCGUUUCUCUUCCAUGGCACAGGUUGGCACAGGUGUUAUUGUGAUUCGCUACCCCCAGAGCUGAGAGACAGGAGAGUUGCUAAGAUCCCACCUGCAUCUUCAGUCAGCGGGCCACUUCAGCAUGGAACCUACAGCAGGGACUCCACACCUUCCCCUGCCAGACACAAGCCGUUCCCUCUGCUGGAACAGGAACCAGGUUGACCCCUUGAGUGUCAAGAGUCAACGUUGACACCAAAGCAUUGUGAAUUUUCCUUUCUCUUCCUUCCUGGGUCCCUCCCUGA